CCGGUUCACUUUAACACUGAGGCGUGACGACGAGGCACUACGGUGCUGAAGCAACAAAUGCCCUGCUUCCAGGAAAAGCCUCUAAGCAUCAGGUAACAUCAAAUCGUACCCCAAACCGACACAGGUGGUCAGGUAGAGAAUACCAAGGCGCUUGAGAGAACUCGGGUGAAGGAACUAGGCAAAAUGGUGCCGUAACUUCGGGAGAAGGCACGCUGACACGUAGGUGAAGUGAUUUACUCAUGGAGCUGAAGUCAGUCGAAGAUACCAGCUGGCUGCAACUGUUUAUUAAAAACACAGCACUGUGCAAACACGAAAGUGGACGUAUACGGUGUGACGCCUGCCCGGUGCCGGAAGGUUAAUUGAUGGGGUCAGCGCAAGCGAAGCUCCUGAUCGAAGCCCCGGUAAACGGCGGCCGUAACUAUAACGGUCCUAAGGUAGCGAAAUUCCUUGUCGGGUAAGUUCCGACCUGCACGAAUGGCGUAAUGAUGGCCAGGCUGUCUCCACCCGAGACUCAGUGAAAUUGAACUCGCUGUGAAGAUGCAGUGUACCCGCGGCAAGACGGAAAGACCCCGUGAACCUUUACUAUAGCUUGACACUGAACAUUGAGCCUUGAUGUGUAGGAUAGGUGGGAGGCUUUGAAGUGUGGACGCCAGUCUGCAUGGAGCCGACCUUGAAAUACCACCCUUUAAUGUUUGAUGUUCUAACGUGGACCCGUUACCCGGGUUGCGGACAGUGUCUGGUGGGUAGUUUGACUGGGGCGGUCUCCUCCUAAAGAGUAACGGAGGAGCACGAAGGUUGGCUAAUCCUGGUCGGACAUCAGGAGGUUAGUGCAAUGGCAUAAGCCAGCUUGACUGCGAGCGUGACGGCGCGAGCAGGUGCGAAAGCAGGUCAUAGUGAUCCGGUGGUUCUGAAUGGAAGGGCCAUCGCUCAACGGAUAAAAGGUACUCCGGGGAUAACAGGCUGAUACCGCCCAAGAGUUCAUAUCGACGGCGGUGUUUGGCACCUCGAUGUCGGCUCAUCACAUCCUGGGGCUGAAGUAGGUCCCAAGGGUAUGGCUGUUCGCCAUUUAAAGUGGUACGCGAGCUGGGUUUAGAACGUCGUGAGACAGUUCGGUCCCUAUCUGCCGUGGGCGCUGGAGAACUGAGGGGGGCUGCUCCUAGUACGAGAGGACCGGAGUGGACGCAUCACUGGUGUUCGGGUUGUCAUGCCAAUGGCACUGCCCGGUAGCUAAAUUCGGAAGAGAUAAGUGCUGAAAGCAUCUAAGCACGAAACUUGCCCCGAGAUGAGUUCUCCCUGAGACUUAGAGUCUCCUGAAGGAACGUUGAAGACGACGACGU
rnacentral:rRNA from 1 species